UACGAAGGGGGCUAGCGUUGCUCGGAAUUACUGGGCGUAAAGGGAGCGUAGGCGGAUAGUUAAGUCAGAGGUGAAAGCCCAGGGCUCAACCUUGGAAUUGCCUUUGAUACUGGCUAUCUUGAGUAUGGGAGAGGUAAGCGGAACUCCGAGUGUAGAGGUGAAAUUCGUAGAUAUUCGGAAGAACACCAGUGGCGAAGGCGGCUUACUGGCCCAUUACUGACGCUGAGGCUCGAAAGCGUGGGGAGCCAAACAGG
rnacentral:rRNA from 1 species